UACGUAGGGCGCGAGCGUUGUCCGGAAUUAUUGGGCGUAAAGAGCUCGUAGGCGGCUUGUCGCGUCGGAUGUGAAAGCCCGGGGCUUAACUCCGGGUCUGCAUUCGAUACGGGCAGGCUAGAGUUCGGUAGGGGGAGAUCGGAAUUCCUGGUGUAGCGGUGAAAAUGCGCAGAUAUCAGGAGGAACACCGGUGGCGAAGGCGGAUCUCUGGGCCGAUACUGACGCUGAGGAGCGAAAGCGUGGGGAGCGAACAGG
rnacentral:rRNA from 1 species